ensembl:lncRNA
GUAGCCUAGUGGUUAGAGUGUAGAGGAGGCAGGUAGCCUAGUGGUUAGAGGGUAGAGGAGGCAGGUAGCCUAGUGGUUAGAGUGUAGAGGAGGCAGGUAGCCUAGUGGUUAGAGUGUAGAGGAGGCAGGUAGCCUUGUGGUUAGAGGGUAGAGGAGGCAGGUAGCCUAGUGGUUAGAGUGUAGAGGGGGUAGGUAGCCUAGUGGUUAGAGUGUAGAGGAGGCAGGUAGCCUAGUGGUUAGAGUGUAGAAGGGGUAGGUAGCCUAGUGGUUAGAGUGUAGAGGCGGCAGGUAGCCUAGUGGUUAGAGGGUAGAGGUAGGUAGCCUAGUGGUUAGAGGGUAGAGGAGGCAGGUAGCCUAGUGGUUAGAGUGUAGAGGAGGCAGGUAGCCUAGUGGUUAGAGUGUAGAGGAGGUAGGUAGCCUAGUGGUUAGAGUGUAGAGGAGGCAGGUAGCCUAGUGGUUAGAGGGUAGAGGAGGCAGGUAGCCUAGUGGUUAGAGUGUAGAGGUGGCAGGUAGCCUAGUGGUUAGAGUGUAGAGGAGGCAGGUAGCCUAGUGGUUAGAGUGUAGAGGCGGCAGGUAGCCUAGUGGUUAGAGUGUAGAGGUGGCAGGUAGCCUAGUGGUUAGAGUGCAGAGGAGGCAGGUAGCCUAGUGGUUAGAGUGUAGAGGAGGCAGGUAGCCUAGUGGUUAGAGUGUAGAGGAGGCAGGUAGCCUAGUGGUUAGAGUGUAGAGGAG